AUAUACUUAGUCUCUAAAUACAUUUCAUGGUUUUUUUCUUCUCCCAUAUAAUUUUUUUUCCUUUAGGUGCUGCUUGAGGAGGUGCAAGACAUUCUGGAGUGAUUAAGCAAAGGACCUAAUUAAACUUUGCUAUGUGAUAUUUCAUCUUCAAUUAGAGAUUGAGAAGCACAAAAAUUCUCCUGGGAAGGAUUGCUGGGACAGCCAAGGUCAUAUCCUACCCUUUGGGAUCUUAUUUAGAAGAUUUUUUUGGCAAUAAUGGAAUGGUUCAUCAUUUCCUUUUCCUGCUCAUUUUACAGAUGAAGAAACAGAUGCAAACAGGGUUAAUUGACCUGCUAGUCACACAACUAGUCUGAAGUUUGAAAUUUCAUAUCUGACAGUCUAUGCAAUUUGGUGAUGUGGAGAGAGUUCCUGACUCAAGUUCAGGAAGGUCAAGCCUCUAAUCUCACCUGAAAUGCUGCCCAGCCAGGAGACAUUGGCCAGGUCACUCAAUUUCUCUGAGUCUCAGGGUCCACAUCAGUGAAAUGUUGAUAAUAAUUGUUAUUCCCUCAGAGGAUUCCCCUCCCCCUAUUUAGAUAAGAUGAUGUCUGUAAAGCACUGUGUAAACUUAUAGCAUUAUGUAAAUACUAGAACCAUUAUUUUAUUUUUAAAAUUUGAUUACUAAUUGAUCUUUGAAAAGUGAUUAAGGAAAAUGGGAAAAGUGAAGUUGAACUGUAGAUCAACA
rnacentral:lncRNA from 1 species